AUUGAACGCUGGCGGCAGGCCUAACACAUGCAAGUCGAGCGAGCGGCGGACGGGUGAGUAAUGCCUGGGAAUUGCCCAGUAGAGGGGGAUAACAGUGUGACACGACUGCUAAUACCGCAUACGAUUGGAUUGCCCAUGGGGGAUUAGCUAGUGGGUGGGGUAAUGGCUCACCAGGGCGACGAUCCCUAGCUGGUCGGAGAGGAUGAUCGGCCACACUGGAACUGAGACACGGUCCAGACUCUUACGGGAGGCAGCAGUGGGGAAUAUUGCACAAUGGGGGAAACCCUGAUGCAGACAUGCCGCGGGUGUGAAGAAGGCCUUCGGGUUGUAAAGAACUUUCAGCGAGGAGGCGUUACUCGCAGAAGAAGCACCGGCUAACUCCGUGCCAGCAGCCGCGGUAAUUC
rnacentral:rRNA from 1 species